GUGGCCUAAUGGUUAGAGCGUUAGCCUCAGAUUCGAGAGGUCGUGGGUUUGAUCCCCAGUCAAGUCA